AAGAGACAGCAGCAGCCGCGGUAACACGAAGGGGGCUAGCGUUGUUCGGAUUUACUGGGCGUAAAGGGCGCGUAGGCGGACUGAUAAGUCAGGGGUGAAAUCCCAAGGCUCAACCUUGGAACUGCCUUUGAUACUGUUUGUCUUGAGUUCGAGAGAGGUAAGUGGAACUGCGAGUGUAGAGGUGAAAUUCGUAGAUAUUCGCAAGAACACCAGUGGCGAAGGCGGCUUACUGGCUCGAUACUGACGCUGAGGCGCGAAAGCGUGGGGAGCAAACAGGAUUAGAUACCCCCGUAGUCCCUGUCUCUUAUAC
rnacentral:rRNA from 1 species